rnacentral:lncRNA from 1 species
CUGGGUAACCGGAGUAAUAUUUGAAGGAGCCCAUUGGGCAUCUGAGAGCUCUUGCCUCUGUUAUUUGGGCAGAGAUAUACUGGUGGGUUGAGUUAACGGGGUGACAUUUUUUUUAUUGUGAUUUAGCAGUUCAGUAGAGAGAAUGCUUUGUAAAGCUGAUUUUCCUGCAGAUCUCUUCUCUUAGGUAUGUCGAUCAGAGGGCUUGUCUGCCUCAUACCAAUCUCUGGACAAGGUGGUGAGCGUAGGAUGGCUCUGUUGGGGUAAGGAAAAGGGGUAAGGAAAAGUCUGACAAGGAGGGUGAUGUCUAGGUUGUGGAGGAAAGGCGCUGGAUCAGUCCCCGGGAGUAAGGAAUGAGCUUAUUCUGUACACGGUUUCAUAAAGCAAAGUAUACUAGUAUACAUAGUAACUUAUCCAUACUAAAACAAACAUGUAGCAAACAUGCGCCUGGCAUUUAAAACCCAAAAUAUUUUUUUGAAAUUUUUUUUUUUAUUCACAAUAUUAUUUCAAAAAUGUUAAAUUUUAGACAAAUCAUAUAAAUGUGUUUUAUAUAAAGUAAUUUCUUCAUAAUGCUUAGUAUAAAGUAUUUAUGCAAGCUACAAAGAGAAUUUACCAGUGGACAUAAUGUGCAAAAAAAAAAUAAAAAAUUACAAACAAAGCACACAGAAUGACAAUAUGCAGCAAAAUAUUUUUUUUUUAGUAACAGAUUUACGCUAGUAGGCAAACAAACUGUUUUCUCUUAAGAGGAUUUGUAUGAAGUGCAGCAGAUCUGGUUUACAUAUAUUGUGAAAAUAAGGAGAUUCCUGCUUCCUCCGAGAGAAUUAAUCAGUUCCAAAUACAUAAAGGCAACUAACCCUUAAAAUGCAUUGAUCCCUUCACAGCGUGAGAUAGAAAAAGGGUAGAUUUUAGUAAGCCAUUUAUUAAAAUUAAGCUAUUUAGAAGUCAAACAUCUUGAGAUGACUUUGGCUCAUGAUACACGAUACCAAUCUCUCCAGCCUCAGCUCAAAAAGUAACAUGUAGAGAUUAGUAAAAUAUUACAUUAAGAGCAGGAGGCCAAACAUAUUACAUUUGGAUGUCAACAAUAAAAAAAAAAUUCAGCUAAAGGGGAAACCAACAGUGGAAAUGCAUUGCAGCUUCACAAAAACUGUUGCUAGAUUAUUACAGGUGAAUUUAUGAUGUACAGGCAUGCCAAAAGGGUAAUAAACUGUAAACCCACUCAGCCACUUACUAUGAGAGUUUGGGGUUAUAAACGUAAGAUCCCAACACAUCUAUCCUUUCCUGGAAGCCCAUAAGAGCUAAUGAUUAUAACUCAGUCAAAAAUGUAGUUUCACAGGCUAAACACUGUUUUUAACUCAUUAACACUGACACUCCACAAAAGCAUUUUGGAAUAAACAAGCUACUGUCAGUCAUGGUCCUCAAUUUGUAAGCCAAUGAGGAGUCACAUGACUUCAUAACAGUGCUUACAAUAUUUUAUGGACAGGCUCGCAUUUGGUAAAGAGCAUCAGGAAAACAUAUGACAUAUCAGCAGCGAGAAACCCUUGGUCUCAAAUGAAAAAAAAAAAAAAAUAUCAACCCAUCACAUCCAGCCCAGGUCUGUAGCCACAAAGCGCCAUGGUUUUGGCUUUAUGAAGAUAAUCAAAAUGAAUGCUGGAAUAAAAUGAAAAACAUAAAAGUAAUAAAAUGGAGGUUAGUAGGUUACAUUUAUUACAGCAGAUUGUAAUAUGCUGAGGAUAUGUUCAAAUGUAAAAAACCAAAUGUUUUACAGUCAUUGUUAUUCACUUUAUUCUUUGCUCUAAGCAUGUCUUAUUUUGGACGGCGUGUAGCUUUUAUCGAUUAUCUCAUCUUGUAAAAACAUGUGCAGGCAUCGUUCAUUCUGCGCCAAUGGGUGGCCAGCAACUCUGUGAAUAAAAUACAUAAGUGUUAG